AGUGAACGCUGGCGGCAGGCCUAAUACAUGCAAGUCGAGCGGCAGCACAGUGGAGCUUGCUCCAUGGGUGGCGAGUGGGCGGACGGGUGAGGAAUACAUGGGAAUCUGCCCAGUCGUGGGGAUAACGUAUGGAAACGUACGCUAAUACCGCAUGCGCCCUUCGGGGGAAAGUCGGGACCGCAAGGCCUGACGCGAUUGGAUGAGCCCAUGUUCGAUUAGCUAGUUGGCGGGUAACGGCCCACCAAGGCGACGAUCGAUAGCUGGUCUGAGAGGAUGAUCAGCCACACUGGAACUGAGACACGGUCCAGACUCCUACGGGAGGCAGCAGUAGAGAAUAUUGGACAAUGGGCGCAAGCCUGAUCCAGCCAUGCCGCGUGAGUGAAGAAGGCCCUCGGGUUGUAAA
rnacentral:rRNA from 1 species